AGCAGCCGCGGUAAUUCCAGCUCCAAUAGCGUAUAUUAAAGUUGUUGUAGUUAAAAAGCUCGUAGUUGAAUUUCGGGAUUAGUACGCUGGUCAUGCCUUUGGUAUGUACUGGUGUUACUGAUUUCUACCUUCUGAAGAACCGUUAUGUCAUUCAUUUGGUGUGGCGGGGAAUCAGGACUGUUACUUUGAAAAAAUUAGAGUGUUUAAAGCAGGCUCGCGCUUGAAUACAUUAGCAUGGAAUAAUGAAAUAGGACGUUGAUCCUAUUUUGUUGGUUUCUAGGAUUGACGUAAUGAUUAAUAGGGAUAGUUGGGGGCAUUAGUAUUCAAUUGUCAGAGGUGAAAUUCUUGGAUUUAUUGAAGACUAACUACUGCGAAAGCAUUUGCCAAGGAUGUUUUCAUUAAUCAAGAACGAAAGUUAGGGGAUCGAAGACGAUCAGAUACCGUCGUAGCCUUAACCAUAAACUAUGCCGACUAGGGAUCGGAUGAUGUUAAUUUUAAUGACUCAUUCGGCGUCUUACGG
rnacentral:rRNA from 1 species